GGAGAGGGGAGGCCAAGGGAGGGGAGGGGAGGGGAGGAGAGGGGAGGCCAAGGGAGAAGAUAUGAAAGAAAUAGGGAAGGAGUGGGACACAGGGAGGAAAACAAAACUAUUUCCUUUCAUAUAAAUGUUGUCAUCUGGGGAGAAGCCCUCACUAUCUCCUUGGUGCCUUUGGCUUUUGGUAUUCAAAUCCCAGAACUCUACAUUUGGAAUCUAGUUCUUUCAAGCUUUACAUUCCAGAAAUCCAUUUCCAUUCUUAAUCUGAAAGCACCAGGAAGGCGGAUGCUAAUCUCAUAGAGCAUUCUAGUACAGCAAGUAGCUCAGCACAGAACUAAUUAGGAGCUUGGUGAGUCUUUGGUGAUGACCAGGAUGGCCAGGACUUGCUUUUAGAGACAGCCACUGUUAGCCAGAUUCCCUAGACUCUAGGGCCUGUGAAUACAGCCUAGAACUGUGUCUAGGAGGGUGUAAUUAUAUCGACACAUUCAACACUCUAAGGAGGCCCAUUUUCAGCUUGAAAAAAUAAAUAAAUAAAAAGGAUAGUCUCAUCUAUCAGUGGGAAUGAUGGUGAUAUAUGUAUAAACAAUCUGUAAAAUAAUUUGUGAACAUGCAUCGAGAGCCUUAAAACUAUAUGUACUCUGGCCUGGCAAUUCUACAGCUACUUCCUCCCCGCUGAGGAAUUAAUCAUGAGAAAAUGCAAAGAUUCAGCUACAAAGCUCUUCAGCCCAAUAACUUGUGAUAGUUAAAAAACAGACAACAAAAUGCCUACCACUAGACGUUAAAUAAGGUACGGCAGGGGUACCCAGUCCCCAGGCUGCGGACUGGUACCAGCAUUCGAUUUGCAUAGGAGCGCAAACCCUAUCAUGAACUCCACACACAAGGGAUCUAGGUUGCGCGCUCCUUAUGAGACUCACCUAAUUAUCUGAGGUGGAAGAGUUUGAUCCCGAAACCAUCCAUCCCCCUCCUCUGUCCCUGUCUCUGAAAAAACUGUCUUCCACGAAACUUGGUCCAUGGUGCCAAAAAGGCUGGGGAGCACUGAGGUAUGGAAUAGUCAUACAAUGGAAUAUCAUAUGGACAUUAAAAUAAUGUAAAAAAAUUUAUGAAAGAAAAAAUAAUAAGUGCAAAGAACUCUAAAGUCCAAUAUUAAUCCAUCUUGGUAAAAGAUAUAAAAUAUAAAUAUAUAUAUAUAAAUGUGUGUACAUAUAUAAAUGUGUGUGUACAUCUACACACAGAGAGGGAGAGGCAGAGACAGAGAGAUGGACAGUGGAAGAAACAGAGGUAUGGGCUAGAAGGUAUGGUAACAUGUUAACUGUAGUCGCUUUUUUUUUUUUUUUUUGCUUAUGAUUUCUAAAUUUCCCAUAAUGAACACAUUAAAGUAAAAAAUACAUUUAAGUAUCACUCAUUCGUCUUCUUCCCCGAUUGUCGGUGACUUCAGACCAACCUCUGAGUUAGGGGCCUUCCGUGGCUGCUGGGUCUGCACUAGCCCUGAUGCUAACCAAACCCCCUCAGGCUGCUGCACUCCUUGGGAUGAUGCUCCUUCAAUGGCUCACCAGAAACAGGUUUAAUCCUGAUUUUUGAUAUUCUAACUGGGUUUGAAAGCUAGAAUUUAAUUAUUCAAAUACAUCCAUCUAAAUGGGCUCACUACUGGUUAGUGCUCAGAGGAGGCUAAUGUGCCAGUGAAAAAUUCUUUUAUUUUCAAGACUGAAAUGAGCUUGGAAGUUAUCUAAUUUUGCUUUGAGCACUUUCAAGAAGCUGUGAAAGCCUCUGCAUCUUGCCAAAUUAGCUGCCUGUUUGCAGUCUCAAAGCAAGGCAGAGGAGGCUUGAGCAGUCGGCUUGGUUUCUUCUUAAAGACGCUGCACCAGCUGAGGAGGAAUGUUUCCCCUGCAGGAAAAUUAUCUCCUGGCAAAGACCCUGGCUGGGCACCUCUCCAAUGUGGAACUAACUCCCAAAGGAAGUCACCAGGCUUCUCUGCCUAAUCCAAAAAUUCUCUGGCACCAAGUAUCACGCAUGUGUGCGUACAAAUCAUGGCUUCCAGAGAGUUUGAGGUGUGGGCCAGCAGUAAUUUCCCAAACUAUGUUCCAACUCUAUGUGCCCAGUUAGGCUGAUACAAUGUUCUUGGGGAACAAGAACUUUGCUUUUAAAACUGCAAAUCUUACUAUAAUUCAGACCACAGGGUAUUUUUUAGACAUGGGCUGUUUAGAAAAUUAGUAGAUGGCCUGCUGAACAGACAAAAAUCACAUUGCUCUGAGGAUAACUUGGAGCUUACUGGAUACAAUAAUUUGCAAACCAGUCAUUCUUUUGGAGAGCUUUGUUCUGGGAAAAACUGAGUACUAUGCAGCAAUUUUUCAGUCAAUUGCAAAAACAUACUCAUGUCUACACAAUACCAAAGAAACCAAGAGGUAUGGUAAUUGUAAUGCCACCAAACUUGUAGAAACACAUCUGUGUGGGUGAGAGACUCACAAAGAUAGGGGCCAAGUAAUGUGGAGAUAGAAAACAGCACACAGGGACCACUGACAAAAGACCUGGGCAGACCUGUGAGAGGGCAGACGCAUCCUUUGUGCUGAGAGCACAUGUGCUGGCCAAAACCUACAGCUCAAUGAAUAUUUGUGAGGUGCCCACUCUGUGGGGUCUUCUGGAGAUUCAGAGAUAAAUGAAGCAUAGUGCCUGCCCUCAAGAAGCCUACAUCAAUUAAAUACACAAACAUCAAAUGAACAAAUUUGGAAAGAGCUAAGAUACAGGAAUGCACAAAAUGCCUGCGAGAGGAUACACGGGAAGCACUUAGCUCCAACUGGAAAUGCACAGAAAGCUUCCUGAGGAUACGACUCUAUGCUCAGCUCAAAAGAGGAAGAGGACUGGCCAAGGGAAGAAGAGGGGGAAGGCGUCACAGACAGUAUUACAGAUGCAGAGGCCUGGAGAAAGGUGUGACCCAUGUAAAUCACAGGAUAAAGUUCCGAGUGGAGAGUGACUGAAAAUAACAUUGGAGAACAAAGUCAGAGAUGAUCAGGUUGAGUUGAUGCUUGGAAGUCACCACCUGGUAGGUACUGAGGGGCCAGGCCAGAAGCUGAGAAGAGGAGGAGGGGGUGACCAGGAAGGGCUAAGGAGGUGUGGUGAGCUCCUUCCUCAGGUUCAUGGCAGGGACAGGACUCCAGGGACAGGCCCACAAGUCUUCCCUGUGCCAUCAGAUAGAGAAAGUCAGGAAUCACAGUGGUAACCAUGCCAAUCGGAGCUCUGCAACAUUUGCU
rnacentral:lncRNA from 1 species